rnacentral:rRNA from 1 species
UACGUAGGGGGCAAGCGUUGUCCGGAAUCAUUGGGCGUAAAGAGCGUGUAGGCGGCUUGGCAAGUCUGGUGUGAAAUCUUGCGGCUCAACCGCAAGCGGUCACUGGAAACUGCCUCGCUAGAGUCCGGAAGAGGAGAGCGGAAUUCCUGGUGUAGCGGUGGAAUGCGCAGAUAUCAGGAAGAACACCCGUGGCGAAGGCGGCUCUCUGGGACGGUACUGACGCUGCGACGCGAAAGCGUGGGGAGCGAACAGG